UCUCAGUGUAAUGCACGCCAAAGCACAUACAGCAAAAUGCGAGGUGAGAUGGGGUGGCAGAAAUCAGGAUGGAGCAGGGAACACAGUUGGAGAGGAAGUUGAACAAGUGAACAGCUUUCUCUCCAGGGCAGCUCUUAUCACAAAAUACAUGACAAAAGCAGGGAGAGAAAAUAUGCUGACGUAACAGGCCAUGGGUUGGAACAGAAAAAAAGCCUCCACAAAGCUUUGGCCCAGAGAUACGUCACAAUCUCAGAGAGGGCAAAACUGGAAGCUGCCAGCCUCAGUGACUUUCAGCAAAAGCAAAACCUCACUCAGCAAACAAUAGAGCAGUGGGUGUUUGAUGUCCAGCAAUGGGCAGUCACAGAUCGAGUCUACACACAAGGGUGUACAGAGGACCUCAGGGCAGAAAUAGAGACCAUCACGGUAACCCUCCUACGCAAGAAGCAGGACCUCUAUCGUCAGCAUGAUAGCAACCAGACAAGACACAGCAAGCGAAGAAAACUUAGAGAUUUAAAAAAAAAAACUAAGAGAAAAGGUCUUGCAGUACAACGCAUCUGAAGAAGAUGAAAUUGAUGAGGACUUGGCCUGCAAUUUGACGGAGGGCUACAUCCUACCAUGGGAGAGAAGUGAAGAUGGCCACUCAUUCAGAUUGAAAAGGUCACUCUUUGACCGAAUUAUGCUACUUAAACGGUAUGAGGAGGAGCAGAGCAUCCUCAUCAAAGAAAUGACACAGCACAUCAUGUCAUUAAGGAAGGAGAUAAAGGGAGUGGAGAAACUCAAAGACAACAUUGGGA